UACCUGAAAUGGAAAGGAUUAUUCAGGUUCCAGCCUGAAGAAACCCAGCCCCUCACAUGAUACCCCCCCCCAACUGUUACUUCCCUCUUCUUGAUUCUCACUCACCAUGUCCGACUGGGGGCGACUUAGAUGCCAUGCGAUGGUCAUUUGAAGACAGGACUUCUGAAUAUCCGGUCCAGACACUUGCUCCCUGGGCCCUGAGCUCUCCAUACCUGGCCCUGGUUGAUGGCCGCAUGCUGGGAAGUGCACGUGAAGACACACAUGGUAAGGAAAUGGCAGAGUUGAUCACGGCUCUGGAAGGACACAGGGAAACCUGGCCAGGAAAAGAAAAGGAUUUAAACGUUACAGAGUAAGAGAGAAGAAACAAAGGAUGGUCUGUAUUUUAGAGCAGAUGUGUGGUUUCUUAUUCAUGUAGAUAUAUUUGUAUCAGAUAUAGGUCCCAAUACUGGCCUAAUUACUUCUCAGUUAUUUUAGACCAGAGGCUCUCAACCUGUGGGUCUUGGCCCACACAGGGGUUCCAUAUCAGAUGUCCUACAUAUCAGAUAUUUACAUUGUGAUUUGUGACAGUAGUAAAAGUACAGUUUUGAAGUAGCAACAAAAUAAUUUUAUGGUUGGGGUUCACUACAAGAGUUGUAGCAUUAGAAAGGUUGAGAACCAUUGCAGAAGACCAUUUACUUAACCUCUCCGCAUUCCAGUUUUUCCCAUCCACACAAUGGAUAUAGUGUAUGUAAUCCCAGCUCAGAGGCAGGAGGCUUUGGAGUUCCUGGCCAGCCCAGCCUGCAUGUAAAGUUCCAGACCAGUCUGCACCACUGUCUGGACUACACAGUGAGAUCCUGUCUUUAAAAAAAAAGCAUCAAAAUCAUCUGUUUUUAAAUAGUGCUCAGCCAAUAACAGACACUGUCGUUGUGGAAAGAUUAGGAACUGGGCAAUCAGUUAUCCCUAGUUAGUUAAGAAGGGAAUUAUAGUUUCUUAGUUGCACAAUGGAGAAUAAGAAGUCCUGAGCUGGGCCGGUGGCACAUGUCUGUAACCCGAACACUUAGGAGGCUGAGGCAGGAAGAGCAUGACUUCAAGGCGAGCUUUCACUACAUAGGAAGUUUGAGGUCCAGCUAGACUAAGUGACCCUGUCUGAAAACAGUAAAGUCCUCAGCUUACCUCAUGCCAGUCAUUCACAGUGUGUGUGGGAGCUCUGAGUUGAGCUGGUACAUAUAUAAUUACACCUGUUAUUUAGAUAAGAAGAUCAAAGGCCAGGGAGAUUAAAUGUUUUUCAAGAUUACCCAGUAACGGGAAAACAGAGGCUGACUUUGAACUGGGGUUCCCAACUGCUAUUCUAUUACCCAUUUUCAUUUUAGCAUACUUCCUCUAAGUCCAACAGAAAAAUUAGGCAAAAGUGGGCUCGGUGAGUUGAAUAGAAAGAGGAGGGGCUGGGAAGCUAUUUGUGGAGGUUAGAGUUAAUAUUUAUGGUAUGGAAUGAAGGGUUGUGUUUCCACCCCCAAGUUAGUAUUCUGAAACUAUUUGCCAGUGUGAUGGUAUUUAGACAUGAAGAUUCUUUGGAAGGUUAUAAUGUCAUAAGUUUGGAGCUCUAAUGAGUAAUGGCACUGUCCUUAUGAGACAAGACAGAGAUCUAGUUUGUUCUCUCUCUGCCAUGUGGUACUAUGAAGGUCACCUGUGUCACCAGGAAGUGCGCCCACCACAACACAAGUAUGCUGCACUCAGACCUCAGACUUUAAGCCUCCAGAGUGGUGAGAAAUAAAUUUCUGAUGUUAAAGCCA